GUGACUUCGGGUAAAUUGAAACUACAGAGCCCAGUUUCCAUUUCGCUGGCUGAAAAAAAGGCGGUGAAUGACAGGUGUGGAAGGAAUAGUGAAAUAUGUUUCUGAGUUGUUUUUAAUGCUGUCGCAAUAUCCUGCUGGACAUUAAGAAUUUAAGGUACUGCAGGUCUACUCCAUCAGUGAGUUGCUCAUUGGCGGAGAAACUGAAGGAGCUGGACUUUGAGCACACCAUGAUGCUGACUGUGACAGAGAGGCAUCAGUGCGUGAAGGAAGUGUGCAGUCUAACAAGCGGGAGAUCAAGUGUAUCCAGUAACAGUGUAAUUACAGCGAACGGAAGAGAUGAACACUAGCCGUCACACCAGACAUGAUCACAGUUGAUGGAAAAAGACCCACAGCAAACGAGAAGGCAGAGGACACUGACAGCUUGACAGAAACCUGUGAAUAGAAUGCUAAAGUGUGAUGAGCUAAGUCAAACUACACAUACUGGAAACCAGCAAUGUAUGUCGAUACAAGGAGGUAACAAUGAAGACACAGUGAUGGUUGAACCAAAAGCAAAGCCCUGACACUACAGUUUUGGAACACUAUGACCACUUUGAUGGUAUUUUUGGACUCUUUUUGUUUAAUUGUUCAAAGGUUCAUUUUAUUAUCAAAGUAUGUAUGCAGAAUACAACUCUGAGAUUCAUCUUCUCCAGGUAGUCACGAAAUACAGAAAAACCAUAGACGUCAUUGAAAGAAGACAUCAAAAGACAUCAACAUCCCCCCAUAUGAAAAAGAAAAAAAAACCAAAAACUUGUGAACCCCGAAUCCCCUCCCUUGACGGGAAAACUGACAUAAUUGCCCACAAGGAAAAUAACAGUGACCCCUCAAUCUCCUCUCACACACAAAAAAUUAACAGGUAGCCCACAUGGAGAAAGAGCAACAAGAACAUCAAACCCCAAACUGAUUGACAACAAGCAAGA